CGACUGAACCACCCAGGAGCCCCAUUGAAAGAGAAGCUUACUUGUCUUUUGUAGUUUCAUCUGCAGUCCUGAUGAAGAGUGAACUAGCUGAGAUCGGGCUUGAAGAAAAGAAAGUAGCUUUUCCUCUGAGAAAACACCAAAUGGAUGACACUGGUGCUGUGGGAGGGCCCCGGAGGGCCCAGAGCCCCUGGUAUGGGAGCAGCACCCUGGCUGGGGUCUCCCCCAUGGUGAAGCCCUGGCAGAGCCGGGAUGGAGAAGGAGGAGUGUAUCCCCAUCACCCAGCUCGGCCGCCUGGUCAAGGACGCGGGGAUCAAGUCCCUGGAAGAGAUCUGCCCCUUGCCCGCCAUCAGGGAGCCUGAGAUCACUGACCCUUCCCAGGGGGCAUCCUUCCCGGAUGAGGUUUCGAAGAUGACACAGCCCCUUGCUGGCCAGCGAUUGGGGUUCAAGGCAUCUGUUACCGUUGGAGCUCACACUGGAGCCGUCUGGGGGAAACUGAAGAGGAGAAAGAAAAAUGUUCACAAUAUACUUGGCUUCAUUUAAUUUUUAAAGCUGAAAGUAAUGAAGAUGUCCUACUGCAUGUCCUGUCAUUGUCUUCUACAGCUCUACUCAGACAUUUUCCCAGGAUGACCAGUGGAGUACCAGCGGAGGGUGUAACUGCAGAGCCUAAGGAAGCUCCAUUCAAUCAACACUCAUGGUGCUAAAAAAACAAAAAACAAAAAACAAAAACAAAAACAAAAAAACACACUCAUGGUGCUAAUGUCCUCCACCAUCCUCUGAAGCCCAUGGUGAAAAUGCACCACUCCUUCCUAGCAGUCAGCUCUGCGAUGCACGGAGACCUUACCUCUGCGUGUCUCUGCUAACUCUCAUUAAUUUUUCUGAAAAUGCAGGACAGCUGUGACUCAGCAAAAUUUCUUGACGGACAGCUUUUGUCUCCCUUAGCAACUUCCCUCUAGCCUUCCAGAUUCUUGUCUUUUGAGCUAUACCUUGCCAGAAAGUUAGAGGGUUCAAUACCAGAAUCUUCUAAUUUCUUACUUAAGAAUAUCAGCAAGUGUGAGCUUGAAAAUGAAGUCUCUACAUUGAAAAAAUUCAUUUUGAGGUUAAAAUGAAAUAUUCAAAAAUCUCAAAGAGGGUCCCCCUCAAAACCAAUAAAUGCUUAAAUAAACACGAU
rnacentral:lncRNA from 1 species